GAUGAAGAACGUAGCGAAAUGCGAUAAGUAAUGUGAAUUGCAGAAUUCAGUGAAUCAUCGAAUCUUUGAACUCACAUUGCGCCCGUCAGUAUUCUGGCGGGCAUGCCUGUUCGAGCGUCAUUACGCCCCUCAAGUCCCCUGUGGACUUGGUGUUGGGGAUCGGCGAGGCUGGUUUUCCAGCACAGCCGUCCCUUAAAUUAAUUGGCGGUCUCGCCGUGGCCCUCCUCUGCGCAGUAGUAAAACACUCGCAACAGGAGCCCGGCGCGGUCCACUGCCGUAAAACCCCCCAACUUUUUAUAGUUGACCUCGAAUCAGGUAGGACUACCCGCUGAACUUAAGCAUAUCAAUAAGCGGAGGA
rnacentral:misc_RNA from 1 species